rnacentral:tRNA from 1 species
GGCGAGGUAGCUCAGUUGGUUAGAGCGUUGGAUUCAUAACCCAGAGGUCUCGAGUUCAAAUCUCGAUCUCGCUACAA